AUUGAACGCUGGCGGCGGGCCUAACACAUGCAAGUCGAGCGGAUGAGAAGAGCUUGCUCUUCGAUUCAGCGGCGGACGGGUGAGUAAUGCCUAGGAAUCUGCCUGGUAGUGGGGGACAACGUUUCGAAAGGAACGCUAAUACCGCAUACGUCCUACGGGAGAAAGCAGGGGACCUUCGGGCCUUGCGCUAUCAGAUGAGCCUAGGUCGGAUUAGCUAGUUGGUGAGGUAAUGGCUCACCAAGGCGACGAUCCGUAACUGGUCUGAGAGGAUGAUCAGUCACACUGGAGCUGAGACACGGUCCAGACUCCUACGGGAGGCAGCAGUGGGGAAUAUUGGACAAUGGGCGAAAGCCUGAUCCAGCCAUGCCGCGUGUGUGAAGAAGGUCUUCGGAUUGUAAAGCACUUUAAGUUGGGAGGAAGGGCAGUAAGUUGAUACCUUGCUGUUUUGACGUUACCGACAGAAUAAGCACCGGCUAACUCUGUGCCAGCAGCCGCCGUAACAC
rnacentral:rRNA from 1 species